rnacentral:rRNA from 1 species
GGGGAAUAUUGCGCAAUGGGCGAAAGCCUGACGCAGCGACGCCGCGUGAGGGAUGAAGGUCUUCGGAUCGUAAACCUCUGUCAGAAGGGAAGAACGUACUGUGUGCCAAUCAGCGCAGUAGUGACGGUACCUUCAAAGGAAGCACCGGCUAACCCCGUGCCAGCAGCCGCGGUAAUACGGAGGGUGCAAGCGUUAAUCGGAAUCACUGGGCGUAAAGCGCACGUAGGCUGUCGUGUAAGUCAGGGGUGAAAGCCCACGGCUCAACCGUGGAAUUGCCCUUGAUACUGCAUGACUGGAAUCCGGGAGAGGGUGGCGGAAUUCCAGGUGUAGGAGUGAAAUCCGUAGAUAUCUGGAGGAACAUCAGUGGCGAAGGCGGCCACCUGGACCGGUAUUGACGCUGAGGUGCGAAAGCGUGGGGAGCAAACAGG